rnacentral:piRNA from 1 species
UGCAAGUUGCUGGCUGUCGGAUCUUAAAU